GAUGAACGCUGGCGGCGUGCCUAAUACAUGCAAGUCGAGCGAACAGACGAGGAGCUUGCUCCUCUGACGUUAGCGGCGGACGGGUGAGUAAUACGUGGAUAACCUACCUAUAAGACCGGGAUAACUUCGGGAAACCGGAGCUAAUACCGGAUAAUAUAUUGAACCGCAUGGUUCAAUAGUGAAAGACGGUUUUGCUGUCACUUAUAGAUGGAUCCGCGCCGCAUUAGCUAGUUGGUAAGGUAACGGCUUACCAAGGCGACGAUGCGUAGCCGACCUGAGAGGGUGAUCGGCCACACUGGAACUGAGACACGGUCCAGACUCCUACGGGAGGCAGCAGUAGGGAAUCUUCCGCAAUGGGCGAAAGCCUGACGGAGCAACGCCGCGUGAGUGAUGAAGGUCUUCGGAUCGUAAAACUCUGUUAUUAGGGAAGAACAAAUGUGUAAGUAACUAUGCACGUCUUGACGGUACCUAAUCAGAAAGCCACGGCUAACUACGUG
rnacentral:rRNA from 1 species